rnacentral:lncRNA from 1 species
GGAGCUUCCUCCGGUGGACAUGUUUGUGACAACAGCAGAUGCAAAGCUAGAGCCACCUAUCAUUACUGUGAACACAGUGCUCUCUCUUCUAGCCGUUGAUUAUCCAACUCACAAGCUAGCUUGCUAUGUAUCAGAUGACGGGUGUUCACCUCUCACUCUCUACUCUCUCGUUGAAGCCUCAAAAUUUGCUAAGCUUUGGGUACCCUUUUGCAAAAAGUACCAUGUUCAAGUUAGAGCACCAUUUAGAUACUUCUCUGACAAUCCCAUUUUGUCAAGUUAUAGUCCAUCAGGAUUCCUUCAAGAAUGGACAAAAAUGAAGGUAGAAUUUGGCCUUAUAUAUUCUUAGUUGAAUUUGUAUAUAUGUAUGAUGUCUCCAUCUUUAAUCUUGUAGGAUGAGUAUGAAAAGCUCUGCCAAAAAAUUGAAGAUGCUGUCCAAAAUUUGGCACCUCUGGAUUUUUCUAGAGACAAUGUGGAUUUUGCUCACAUAGACAGCAGGAACCAUCCCACUAUAAUCAAGGUUCUUGUUUUUUGUUUUUGGUAAUUCACACAAGAAGUAAAGCCUCCCAAUAAGUUCAUUUCAUCGGUAAAGGUAAAUUUAUAUGCAAGAUGACCUUUGUGGAGUAGCCAUAUAUAACAGCUCAUUAUAUUCAUUAUAUAUGCUCCACAGUUGGUUGACUGACUAAUAUUGUGGUUCAUCUACUUUUCACAUCCUGCAACUAUUCCUUAAAAUUUUAGUACUGAAACCUAAAUAAACUUUCUAUUGUUAAUUUGAAUUAAUAUUUGUACAGGUGAUAUGGGAGACUAAGGAGAGAAUUUCUAAUGGUCUACCACAUUUGGUUUAUGUAGCCAGGGAGAAGCGUCCUAAUCACUCACAUCAUUACAAAGCGGGCGCUAUGAACGCUUUGGUGAGAAUUAUUUGCUUAACUAGGAAAAUGUUACCAUCUCUCUUUUUAAAUACAUUUGUUCAAUUAGAAAAUUACUGUUAUCUUAGGCUUAAUUAGCUAGUGUAAAAUCCAUGAUUUUACCCAGUGACUAAUAUUUUUAAUUAAUUUUAUGUACAUAGACGAGGGUCUCUGGUGUUAUGACAAAUGCUCCAUUCAUGUUGAACGUGGACUGCGACAUGUAUGCCAACAAUCCAAAGAUCGUUCUUCAUGCGAUGUGCCUACUGCUUGGUUUCAAGCAAGAAAAAGGUGCAUUUGUUCAGUUUCCCCAAAUGUUCUACAACAUUUUGAAAGAUGAUCCAUGUGAAAGCAAAGUGGUUGAGGCUGUAAAAGUACGUAUAUUGGUUUACUAUUACUCCACUUAGACGGAAAAAAACUUGCAGGUCACGUGCUCAUACCUCUAGUCAGGCGAUAGAAAUAGGGAUAUGAACAUGGGGUAGUUAAGUUAGUUUCGCACUAUGGCAGAUUGGCGUACAUGGACCUAAUUAAUGUAGAAGGCUUUAACUUUUGCAGAAAAUUUGGCCUGGGUUAGCUGGGAUCCAAGGACCUUUCUAUGCAGGGACAGGAUGUUUUCACAGACGUAAAGUUUUCUACGGCUCAUCUCUAACAGAUAAUGAAGGUAUCUUAGCAUCCAAGAUAUAUAUUAUCUGUACUAAUGUAUAUAACUAAUCACUCAUUAAUGCUUAAUCAACUUAUAAAUGAUUUUUCUAAGGGAACUUGACGAGUGAGAGACUAAACAAAGGAUGCUUUGGAAAUUCUCCAGAGCUCAUCCGAUCAGCUACUCAAAUUUUAUUAGAGGAAAAUAUUGAUCAACCGGACGACCUUUCCUGUGCGGUCGAUGCAGCAUACCAUGUUGCUCAUUCCGAGUUCGAGCAUGAUACAUUAUGGGGCAAAAAGGUAACGAAAAAUAUUUUUCUCUCUAAUGUUAGAAGAAGUCUCUGCUAAUUGACAGGAGUUUUGAUAUUGUUAAUUGGGCCGACCCUUUUCAGGUGGGUUGGGUUUAUGGGUCAGUAACAGAAGAUGUUCUAACUGGGAUGAAGAUCCAUGCAAGAGGGUGGAAGUCUAUCUUAUGCAUGCCAGAACCACCAGGUUUUCUGGGCGCUGCACCCUCAACUACUCAUGUUAUGUUGAUCCAGAGGAAGAGAGGCAUCACAGGGCUGCUAGAAAUUUUGUUCAGCAAAAAUUGUCCCAUUUUUGCCACCCUUUAUGCCAAGCUUGAGUUUAGGCAAUGCUUGGCCUACCUGUGGAUACUAAUUUGGGGACUGCACUCUAUUCCUGAUCUAUGCUAUGCUCUUCUGCCAGCUUACUGCCUCAUUACCAACUCACACUUUUUGCCAAAGGUAAAUAGAAUCAUCAUCUAAAUAUAAUGUGAUUUUAGUUCGGAAUUGUUAUCAGCAUUUUAAAAUAGUCUCCCGGCUUGCACUCUUGGUUUCUUUACCUUUUUCAUCAAAGAAGAAUGCAUGAUUUUUUUUGGAGUACCAAUAAUAGCUGUUUUAAAAUUUUGUUAAAUUAAGCUUGGUAUAAACAUUGUUAAUGAUGGAAUUACGAAGUUUACAUACACUUCAAAUUAAUCUGUUACCAAAUAGUGUGACAAUAUUUUAAGUACAUAUAAUGAUUUAUGUCGAUUAAAUAAUAUCACAUUUUUUCAUGAAUGAAAUUUGGUGUCCCUAGCUGUACUCAACUCAAACGAUUUUGCUUUGUAGGUCCAGGAACCGGCUCUAAUAAUAUUUGCCGCUGUGUUUCUCAUUAAACACUUAAACACACUACACUCCAACCUUGAUUCUGGUCGAUCAAUUAGGGCUUGGUGGAACCAAUUGACAGUGGGACCAUGGAGCAAAAUACUCAGUCUAACUGCAUCAUUAUUUGGAGUUAUAACUGUGGUAUUUAAGCUUUUGGGCAUAUCUGAGGUGACAUUUGAAGUCACACAAAAGGAGCAAAAUUCCUCUUCUAGUGACCAAGAAGCUACUUAUGAUGCAAGGUUUACUUUUGAUGAGUCUCCAAUAUUUGUACCAGCCACAGCUCUAUUGUUUCUGCACUUCACAGCUCUGGUCACGGCCGCGUUGGGGUUGCAACCACCGGCUCAUGGGGUGAAUGGGGCGGGCCUAGGGGAGAUGAUGUGUAGUGUGUGGGUGGUGCUAUGUUUUUGGCCAUUUGUUAAAGGUUUGUUUGGAGAGGGUAAAUAUGGGAUUCCCAUGGCCACUAUAGUCAAGUCAGCUGUGUUGGCCUUGCUCUUCAUGUACUUCUGCCCUAAGAACACUACAUCCUGAUCAAGUUUCUGAUUAAUAUAAAGUUAGGAAAUCAGAGUAGACAGAGUUGUAAUGUUCUUGUCUUUCCUGAUUGUAUUUGUAUAACGAUGAAAAAAAUGAAAAAAAUUAUAACUUAUUUUAUUAAGUGUUUAUUUCAAAUUUAAUGGGUUCUCACAUGCAUCACCUUUAUGGAUUUGAUGGCUAUCUAGUUAUAUAUCUUGGGAGAAACAAGUGCAGUGUGGCACAUAAAUGAAAACUACGAAACAAAAGAGGACAAAACUAAACUAGCAUGUCGCCAUUUGAAACUAAGGAUUGUUAAUUACAUAAACUUAGGAGAAAUAGGGAGCACAAAUCAUCUCCAAUGGUGCUAUCUAUUUUUAAGUCAAUUUAGUUAAAAAGACUAGAAACUGUUGAAGGACAAUUUAGAGAGUGAGGAUAGGAGAGGGACGGCAAGAGAGAGAGAGAAGGAAGCUCAACGAUAGUAUUUUCACUUAUGCUCCUUGGUGCCUUAUGCCUUUAUUUAUACUAGCCACCUGUACUUUUCUUGCCUCACAAGUAAUACAAGCCAUAAAAGAUUAGAUAUCCAAAUCCUAUUGGAAUCUUGCUUCUAAAUUUAUACAAUCACAUUCCUAAAGAUAUUAACUACGACUUACUCUUAAAGUGUAACGUUUAAGAAGUUAUUGCAUCGAGUCUUCUCAGAUGAUUAUUGAAGUCUUCGAUCGGCAUAGGCAAUUUCACACGCGAAGUGCGACAAAACCCAAAGCGUGAGAAGUGUAAGGUCGAAGUUUGAAGUAAUCAAACAGUGAUGAACGCUCACAUCAAGGUAUGACCAACCUAAGACCUCAGUUAAAACCUUGUCAUGAUAUCAAAGCCUAAUGGGACAAAUGCUCCUGAACUAAAAGAAAAAGAGUACAUUAAGGUCAACUUCUACUACAUACUAUCCUUGAGUUCGACAAAACUCCUUAAUUAGACUGUAAGCAAUGUAAAUCAGACAGUUUACGCGUUCCAAUCUUAGGACAAGCUUCUAAAAACUGAAUUUCGGCAGUGACUUGGUGAGGAGAUCAUUGAGAUUGUCUGGGAACUAAUUCUCUUGACUUCGAUCUUCUGAUGCGCUUGUUAAGGAUGAGAGGAAAAAUUUUGGCGCAAUGUGCUUGGUAUGGUCUCUUUUGAUGUAUCCUUUUUGAAUCUGGUAUCGUUGUGAAUGAGAGAAGAAAAACAUGUAGAAUUAUCCUCAAAUAUCAUUGGGACGUCAUCAAAUAUCAUUGGGACGUCAACAAUGGACGAUAAUUCACAAGUGCUUUGACUAUGCUUGACAACGGCUUUAAGCGAUGUACGCUCACUAGCAGCCACAUAGAUGGUGAGUAUCACACCAUGGUUCCAGGACAUAACAACUAAAGUCUGCUUAGUAGACUUCUAAGAUAUUUGCAAUUUUAUCAACGGUAAAGACAUAACCCAUUUAGGGCCUUGCUUUGUACGGGUCAAAUAAGUACCUAGCAUCAGGAUAACGAAACUUAAUUAUGCUGAAAAAUCUUUUGAUUUGUAUAUGCAGGUGGCCACAUUCAUAAUGGAGAGGAUUAUAAGUGCUGAGGGACAUAAGUACUGCUGCGCUUUCACGGAUUGAUUUUUCGUAAUCACAAGCUCUUAGGAAAAUGCUCGACAUGAUUACUACUGUAGGGCCUUCCCUCCGGCUGCUUAAACUUAUCGUUCGUUGCUAUAUGAGGCUCGCACAAGGCCAAAAGUAAGUUACUCCUAAUAGUUAAUACUUGUAGGUCUAAGCUCGUCUUGAGUCUUGGACUAAACAAGAUUGGAAUUGAGUUCAAGCCAGUUCUAACAUAUGUGUGUCUAGUACAAUUUAACUAGUUAAAUCUCAACAAUUUCAAGUUUGUUAAAUAUUGGUCGUCAUUUAGUCUAAUUUAAUUGAAAUAACCGCCUGUAACACUCUAGAUAGGACUUGUAACAUACAAGAUGUUGAACCGUUCUCCACUUUAACUAUUCCAGUCUUAACAUUAAAAGUUCACCAAACAUCGAAUGUUAUUAGUCUAAUUCAAUUAAAAUAGUCGAGUUCAAGUCAAGUCAGCAAAUGAUCAACAUAAUUAUUGUCAAUUGAUGAAAUUUUUAUUGCAGGGACGUUGACCACAGAAAGUUGUGUCUUCCUAAGAGGUUGAAGGAUCGUAAAGUCAUUAACCUCAUCGCUGUAAGUUCUUCGAAUACAAUUUUUUUUUUUUUGGAUUGCUUCCCGCAACCCGUUUAUUUUUACUGAAACAAUUCUACUUGAUUUAAUUUCCAGGACAACCCAACCGCCAUGGUAUGCAUGAGACUGGCUUGUUCGGUGUCUUACAGCGACGAGAAGGGCUCCUCUGAUAGAGGCGGGCGCGGAGGUCGAAAACAGGCACCCGGGCGCGGAGGUCGAAAACGGGCACCCGGUGAAGGCUGCACAGGAGUAGCAGACGAACCAUGUUAUAUUCACCUAUGCUGGUCAAUCUCACCAGAGAUGAAAUACCAAAGCCAUGGAGACUGAAAACUGUUGUAAUAUGUUUGCUUUUAAUGUGCACUUUGUUUUCAAUGUUGUAAUUUACUUUUCAUCUGUAUCAUAUUUUAGUGUUUGUAACUAUUGUAAAAUGUUAUUCCUAGACGGACUGCUGUUGUUUGUCUCAAAAGUUGCGUCGUCUUUUAUUGCAUUUUUGGCAUGGUUAGAGUAAGUCCCACAUCGGCCAUGUGAGAAGGAGUGAUGGACUUUAUGAGGUUGUCUCGAUCGUCAAUGAUCACGACCUUACUUGAACAGGAUCUGUUCUAUAGGUUGUGAUAAAUUCUGGUGAGUUAGUUUGGUUCCUGGAGGCAGACAAGAAAAUGAAAACAGAGAAAACAAAAUCGGGGGAGGGAAUGUGAAAGGUUUCUUAUCUGUGAAGUAAUCACAGAUAUUUCAAUAAAUAUCAACUUAGGAUAUUUCCUUACAAGCUAAUCUAGAGCAAUCUCAGCCCUUGAUUCAAAACAAAGAUCUAAAGCAUACACUUGUCUUAUGAGACUAGACAUACACUUUUCUAUUGAUUUCUUCCUUCUUAAACACUUGAACAAAACUGAAUUCUAUUUAAUUCCAACACUCCCCUUUAAAUGAAUUCUGGUUUUGAUCCCAAGCAUUCCUCUGAGAAUAGACAAAACCUUUCCCUCGGUAGAGCUUUGGUGAAGAUGUCGGCCAUUUGAUCCUGUGAUUUGCAGUAGAUCAGUUCAAUGGUAUUCUCCUGCAAGGCUUCCCUUAUGAAGUGAAACUUCCUUUUGAUAUGCUUGGUUUUCUGAUGAAAAAUAGGAUUCUUGGUCAUAGCUAUUGCUGAUGUGUUGUCACACAUAAGUGGUGAAGCAUCCACUUGCAUUCACUCACCAAAAUCCUUUAACACAAACCUCAACCAUAUAGCUUGGGAGGUAGCCAUUGCAGCACUCACAUACUCUGCUUCAGCCGUAGACAAUGCAACACUUUGUUGCUUGACAGAAGCCCAAGAAAAUAUCCCAGAACCGAAUGUAAAUGCAUAUCCUGAGGUACUUCUCAUGUCAUCUUCACUGCCACCCCAAUCGCUGUCACAGAAGCCUACCAGAAUUGCUUUUUUCUCCCUUUUCAUAUUUGAUUCCAUAAUCCAAGGUCCCUGAGAUAUACCUUAGUACUCUCUUAGCAGUUCCCAUGUGAAUUCUCGUGGGAUUAUGCAUAAACCUUGAUAAGAGACUGGCUGCAUACAUAAUGUCAGGUCUUGUAGCAGUCAAAUAAAGCAGACUUCCAACCAUCCUUCGGUAUAAGCAUUCAUCAGCAGAUUCAGAACCAUCCACUUUACAAAGUUUCUCAUUCGUGAUCAAUGGUGUUGCCACAGAUUUGCAUCCUUUCAGAUUGAAUCUUUCAAGCAGUGAUUGUGCAUACUUCUGUUGAUGUAUGAAAAUCCCAGUGGUUUCUUGUAUUACUCCAAUUCCCAAGAAGUGAUGCAACAAGCCAAGAUCCGACAUCUCAUAUUUGUCUCAUCAUUUCCCUUCUGAAUUCUUCAAUCAUUUCUUCUUCACAAUUACCAGUAAAGACCACAUCAUCAACAUAUAUAGACACAAUAAGCAUCUCAGAGUUCUCACCAGUUUUUGUAUAUAAUGUUGCUUCACUAGGACUUUUGUUAAAUCCACUCUUGCUGAAAUAGGAGUCUAUCUCACUGUACCAAGCCUGGGGGCUUGUUUGAGUCCAUACAGUGCUUUGUUUAACUUGUAGACCUUCUCCUCUUUAUUUGGCACUUCAAAUCCUUGUGGUUGAUCCACAUACACUUCUUCCUCCAAAAUGCCAUUUAGAAAAGCUGAUUUGACAUCUAACUGGUGAAGUUUCCAUCCCUUUUGGGCAGCAAGAGCAAUCAAGGUUCUAAUGGUGUCUAACCUUUGCCACUGGGGCAAAGGUUUCAUUGAAAUCUACCCCAGGUUGUUGUGAGUAGCCCUUGGCAACUAAUCUUGCUUUGUUCUUCUGUAUUGAUCCAUCCAAAUUCAGUUUGAUCUUGUAAAUCCAUUUCACACCUAUCACAGGUUUAUCACUCGGUCUAUUUACCAAUUUCCAAGUAGAGUUUUUUUCAAUCAUGGCAAUUUCUUCACUCAUUGCUUUCUGCCAGGAUUGAUCCUUCUCAGCUUCUUCAAAACUCUCAGGUUCAACAACACAAUAGUUACACACUGCAUAGAUCUCAUUUAAACUCCUCAUUCUCGAUGGAGUUGUUUCAGGGGAGGAAUCCUGUAAUUCUUGUCCUUCUGCAUUUGAAGUAGAGGACUGAGAUCCUUGUGUUGGAGUUGAAAAAUCAGUUUGACUCUCAUCUUGUAUAACAGGUUCAUUCACAUUUUGCACUUCAGCUUGUGCUUCUUCCAUUGCUAGUGGAAAUGAGAUAGUGUCUAUGUUAUUGGUUUCCCAAUUCCAUGCUUCAUUCUCCUUGAACACCACAUCCCUUGAGAGAAUCACUUUACGUGACUCAAUAUUGUAGAGCCUAUAGCCCUUUUCACAGCUUCCAUAACCUACAAGGACACACUUGACACUAUUGAUCUCAAGCUUGUGUCGUAGUUGAGAUGGUAUCUGUGCAUAGCAGAUUGAUCCGAACACCUUCAAGUGCUUCACACUUGGUUUUCUGCCACUAAAUGCCUCAAACGGUGUUUUCUUCUCAAGUGCUUUAGUUGGACACCUGUUUAGGAGAUACACAGAUGUAUUGACAGCUUCACCCCAAAAAGAAAGUGGCAUUUUCUUAUCAUGGAGCAUUGACUUGGUCAUUUCAACCACGGUCCUGUUCUUCCUCUCAGCCACACCAUUCUGUUGUGGUGUGUAGGCCACUGUCAAUUGCUUCUGUAAUCCUGCUCCUUCACAGAAUUCUUGGAACUCAAGUGAAGUGAAUUCACCACCUCUGUCGCUUCUUAGUCUUUUGAUCUUGAGACCACUCUGAAGUUCAACCAUCAUUUUGAAUUUCUUGAAGAUUGAAAAGACUUCACUCUUGUUUCUCAUAAGAUAUACCCAAACCAUCCUAGUGCAGUCAUCAAUGAAUAGCAGAAAAUAUCUGUUCCCACUGAGUGUAGGUGUCUUCAUUGGACCACACACAUCUGUGUGUAUGAGUUCUAGAGGUUGACUUGCUCUCCAUGCACUUCCAGUUUCAAAAGAGUCCCUGUGAUGCUUCCCCAGUAUGCAACCUUCACACGGUUCUUUAGUCUCUUGUAACUCAGGAAGACCAGUCACCAUUUGUAGUUUCUCCAAUCUCUUUAAACUGUGAAAGUUGAGAUGUCCGAACCUCUUAUGCCAUAUAACCAAGAGUUUUCUGCAACACUUGCUUUUAGAGCAAUUGAAUCAUUGUAAUCUAGCAUAAGUGGAAAGCUUUUGUUUUCUGUCAUGCCAACUUGUGUUACCAAGUUUUGGAGGCUUCUGUCAUCAAAGAUCUCCACCAUAUUGUCUCCAAAAAGUAAGAAGUAACCAUGAGCAAUCAUCUGUCCCACACUAAGGAGAUUCUCAUCAAGACCUGGUACAAGUAUUACAUCCUUGAUGAAUCUUCUUCCACCCUUUGUCUCUAGAACAAGAGUUCCUUUUCCAGUAGCUUCCACUAGUUGUCCAUUCCCCAUUUUAACUCUGCAAUUGAAGCUUCUGUCAAUGUUGAUCAGUAAGGAUUCAUAUGCAGUCAUGUGAUUACUGCAUCCACUGUCAAUAUACCAGAUUCCUUUCUUGUUUUCAGUUUUUGCAACACUACAAGCAUAAAAGACAUUUACUUCCUCUUCUUCUGCUCUAUGUGCAUAGUUGACAACUUGGUUCCUUCUUGGAUUGCAAUCUUUUGCUAGAUGGCCAAAUCUGUCACACUUGGUGCAUUUGGGUUUUCCCUUGAACCAGCAAACACCAUAGUGUAAUUUGUCACAGAUUUUACACUUGGUUUUGGUAGACUCACUACUAGAUUCUGAUUUUGAUUGUGAAGUAUGGUUGUUGUCCCAUUUCUUCCCUUUUCCUUUCCAUAAUUUCUUUUUAUUUGAGUUGCUCCCCUGACCCCUGUAACUGCUAUCUCUCUCAGUCACACUUAGACUAGUAAAAGCCUUUUCAGCUAAGUUUUCAGAAUGCAUAUUUAACCUCUGCUCAUAGCCUUUCAAUGUACCAAUCACUUCUUGAACCUCAAUGGAGUCAAGGUCUUUAGUUUCUUCUAUAAUAGAUGCAAUGGAAUCAUAAGAUUUAGGCAAGCUAAUAAGUAUCUUUUGCACUAAUCUUUGAUUUGUCAGUUCUUCACCAAGAGUUUUCAUUUGAUUCACAAUAUCAGUCAAUCUUGUUAAAUAAACAGAUAGAGCUUCACCAUCAUUCAUCCUAGUGUACUCAAAAUCUCUUCUUAAACAUUGUAGUUUGACAGACCUAACCUUUUUAUCACCACGAAAUUCUUGUUGAAGAACAUCCCAUGCAGUCUUGGAGGUUUCAAAGUUUGAGAUUCGAGGAAAGAUCUCAUCAGACACUGCCCCUUGAAUGAUACCAAGAGCUUUUGCAUCUCUUGUUUCAUUAACUUUCAUUGCUAUCUUCCUCACAGACUGUUGAUCUUCAUCGCUAGAAUCAUUUUCAGUUUCUAUAGUUUCAUAACCCUUGUCCACCAAAUUCCAGAGAUCAUGUGAUUUGAAUAUGGUCUUCAUCUUGAUGGACCAAAAAUCGUAGUUGAUCCCAUUGAAAAUAGGAGCCCUCAGAUCUCCUCCACUGCUCGAAGUAACCAUGUGAGGCUUUGUAAGAACAGAUGAGAUUUUCACGAUCUGGGUAUGUUUUUCCCCUUUUCUUUUCAGAGAUACGAAGCACACACACAAAACGCCCAGUCCUGAAUUUGAUCAGAACCUAAGCUCUGAGGCCAUGAUAAAUUCUGGUGAGUUAGUUUGGUUCCUGGAGGCAGACAAGAAAAUGAAAACAGAGAAAACAAAAUCGGGGGAGGGAAUGUGAAAGGUUUCUUAUCUGUGAAGUAAUCACAGAUAUUUCAAUAAAUAUCAACUUAGGAUAUUUCCUUACAAGCUAAUCUAGAGCAAUCUCAGCCCUUGAUUCAAAACAAAGAUCUAAAGCAUACACUUGUCUUAUGAGACUAGACAUACACUUUUCUAUUGAUUUCUUCCUUCUUAAACACUUGAACAAAACUGAAUUCUAUUUAAUUCCAACAGGUUGUACCUCUGUAUCCUUGAUUUCUAAGGAGACAGGAACCUCAGUCUGGUGGAUGAACCAUGACCGUGUGAUCAGAGCGUGAUUAACAGCUUUGUGAUCCUUGGAUCAUUCGAGCGGUAGAUGAUCGUUCUCAGCCGUUGUAACAACCGGUUGGGGUGGUCACACGGUUGUAUGACAGACCUCCCUUCUAAAUUUUUUUUUGGUUAAAUUUCAUUUUCUUCAAUUCUUUCUGCACUUGCCUUUUGGUUCUCAAAUUCACAUUCCGUCCGAUCACAGGCACAAUUUUUUUGGUUAAAUUUCAUUAUUCUUCUUCAAUUCUUUCCGCAGUAUUGCAUCCAAGUUGCGCAACAAACAUUGCAUGCUAAAAACAUAGACAAAUUACGCCUCAAUCUUUAGAGGGCGGAUGUACUACGUCUUGCUUGGGAGGGAUUGAAAGAGUGCUUUCGAGCAUAAACGAGAGAUCAUGCAUCUGUGACAUUAUUCUCCAUAUCGUCAGAUUUUGACCCUGCUCUUACACUGGAAACAUCACCGCCCUCCGCCACAUCUCAGAUUUUUUUUUUUAUGGUUUGUGCUUGCAUCAACCAACCUAAACACGCAACAGAAAUGAGGCGUUAACAUAGGUUCUUUAAUGAAUGAGCACAUGCAUCUUCCAUGAAGCUUCACGUAUUAUAUUAUUGAAACCAGCAAAUAUAGCAUUUCACGGUGAUUCGAAACAGGAUUCUGCAGCUAUUAUAGCACCCAUAUAAGUUGGCUUAUACACGCACCUGUUUAAUACAGAAGGCUCUGGCUGACUCUAUACGCUACAGUUGAACUGUUGGAACUGUUACAUGCUCCUGUUAAGAAAUCUGGUUGCAAAAAGCUACCAAAAUCCAAGUCACCGGAGUUGCUAGUGCCAAACAAAUUUGUUUCUGAAGUGUGGUCAACAGAUGUAGUCUGAUUAAUACUUUGUUUUACAGAAUUAUCUGCAAGAUUUGAUGCAUUAUUCGAGCUAUCAAAAUCAUUCCAAGCAUCGAAUGAAUCAUCACCCGCAUCAGUAGUCUUAUGAUAAAGAGCGUUGUUGCUGAUACUACUUUGUUUUACAGAACUAUCAACAAGAUUUGGUGCAUUGCUCGAGGAAGGAUUUCAGAAGCUUGAGGAAGGUUUUCAGAAGCUAGAGGAAGGAUGUCAGAAGCUAGAGGAAGCUUUUCAGAAGCUAGAGGAAGGGUUUCAGAAGCUUGAGGAAGGUUUCCAGAAGGUUGAGGAAGUGAUUCAGAAGCAGCAAACUGAAAACUUGCUGCCCAACCAGAAUCACCACUCUAUCCUUCAGUAGUUUGCACAACUGUCUCAAAACGCUUUACAUUCUCAAACAACCUAAGAGUUUCAUGACCUUCGAAACUCUUUACAAUCUGUGUGCUAGACCCGAACAGCUCUUCAGAAUUACUUGGGCGGAUUGGGGGUCUCAUUUGGGAGAUCAGUCUCAAUUUUCUCUGGCUUAGAGGUCCAUUUUAUUUCAAGAUUUAAGAGAUCAAACAGACAACUCAUCCUUCCGCGCGCAGUCUGUGCUCUGUUUAAUUCAUUUGCUUCAGCACGUAAAUUCACUGGAAAUUUUGAGUAGAAAUAUAUAAUAAAUAUAUAUAAUUAAUUAUCAAAAAAUGAGCUUGAGUACCGACUCUCAUAAUUAAAUUCGUUGAUUCAUUAAUUAUUUUUAAUUAAUUAAUUUCAGAUUUAAUUUUUAAUUUAACAAACUCAUAUUUUCAGAUGAAGUCUGAAGUGAUGAAAGAAUGUCACCCCUUUGAGAAUAUGUCUCUCAAAAGGCGCAUCCCAUAUUCAUACAUAUUGUGAAUAACCAUAACUCAAUUAUAUAUACAUUCAUCUGCAUGACAUUUAAAACACAGAAAAAUCAAAUUCAUUUUCUACAAUCCCAAACCUUCUUACUAAGAGAACCACAAAGAAAUUCGCCAGAAGUCUAGUUUCUCGGUGCUGGAAUCUUGACUUAGAUCGUUGAAUCCUGAUGAAGCAGACGUUCGUAGAACUACAAGCAUAGAAUAGGGACAAAAUUAUGUUUCAAGGACAUUGCGGUACGCAAGCCUCGAUCUUCAGUUUAUCUAUUUAAUAUUAUUUCAUUUUGUUCAUACUCUGUUAAAUUAUUUAUUAGCAUAUAUAAAUUUAUCAUUGAUUGUUGAUAUUUAUCCAACACAAUCUCCUACAAACCAAAGUGUCUAACUUUGUUACGUAUUCAAGAAGCCCCACAAAAUUAAUUUCGAAGUCUCUAUGUUAACGAGAGGUCACAUAAACCUCAUUUCUAGCAAACAAACGAUAGGCAGACAAAACUAUAAUUUCCCACUUACAUGAUGGUUUAUGGAUGACAAUUCUAACCAUCAUACCCCGAUAAUUGAGGAUAACCGUCCAUAUGAUUGGAUUUGGGUAUGAAAAUUCAGAUAUAUUUUGGGUAGGGGAAAAACCAUGAAUAUUAUUCGGUUUAUGAUUCUGGAUAUGGUUAUAGGGUCCCCAAUCCGUAUCCUUCUCCCGAAUCUGAACCGAAUGAUAUAUAAUAUAAUUAUAUAUAAUAUUAAAGUAUAAAUAAUACACACACACACACACAUACAUGUACAAUCAUUAUUCACCCAAUCUAUUAACUUGUGAAUACAAAAAUUGCAGUGUGAGUUGCAUUUUGUGAGAAAGUUCAAAAGUUUUGAUAUGAAUUAAAAUUUAUGAGAAGUCAAUAAUACUUAUGGGAGAUAUCAAAGAUCAGCCAACAUUUUUUUUUUUUUAUGUAUUGACAAAAAUGGAUAUAACCGUUAACCGAUGAGGAAUCCGUUACCUGAUGGGUAUGGUUAUGGAUAAUACCCGAUGGUUAAUUUGCGGAUGGAUAUGGUUAAUUUUUGUGGUUAUGGAGAUGAAUAUGGCAUUUCCGUCCUCAGACCGAACUGUUGCCAUCCCUAAUUUCAAGUGUGAUCUGCUUAAUAUUGAGUAGUAACUACUAAUUAGAUGUUGAUACAAAUCUUAUACAAUGUACUAUUUCUACAUCUCUGCAUAAUCUCAAAACCACAGCUUCAAGCAUUUAAGUUUUCCAUGCACUAUAUAUUAACAUAAAUAGCUUCGAAUCAAAAAAGGAAUUUUCAACAUUAUUAAGCUGUUGGGCGGCUAGAAAAAGCUGGUAAAACAGAUUUAGCAAACUAAAACAAUCAAAGCUUCAAUCUUUUUCAUCAUCUACAAGCAAGAAACCAUAAAAUAUGCUACAACAUCUUGCUAUACUUAAUAAUUAAAUCAGUGUCAUUUUCUUCUUAAAAAAAAUUCACGAUGUUAUUUCGGAUGAACAAUGUAUUUGGACUAAGACCUAACAUUUGUUUCAAGCUUACGUAGACAAUUUUAACUUGAAAAGUACCAAGAAUGGGGACGCAACCAUGUGUGGAUGUACAGUCAGUAAUGCACAUGAACAAUUCAUUCAGAGUGUACAUGUAAACAAACUUAGAAGGCGAAUAAUUUUUAAUUUUAAUUUGCAUAGUCUAAUCAGGAAAUUUUCAAGACAAAACGGUAAAAUCUUAUGGCAAUUAAGGGUAUGAUGAGCUAGCUUACACCAACCUAUAAAACCUGUUUCCAUCCCGUUUGAAUAACUCUUAUGGUCAUCAAUUAUUCUUGUAGUUCAGAUAAGAUUAGGACCACCACUUCACCGAAAGCCGAGAUAUAGAGGCAGACAACAUAUAACGAGAUAGACAUAUAAUUUCUACAAUGAUUGAUGCUGGCGCCGACCAUCUAUAUAUAUAUAUAUAUGUGUGUGUGUGUGUGUGUGUGUAAACCGCCUUGGACCUGAAUUCUAUCCACAGUAGUACACCUUCUUAUCUUUACCUAGCCAAUGGAAAAUCCUCAAUCUCUUCUUCUUUGUGAAAAAACUGCCCUUAAAAUCAAUGCACUGCAGAAAACCUUAGAAAUUGCAAUUCUGUUCCUCUUCGUCUUUGUCCUUGUUUAUCGUCUCCUCUCUCUCAGAGACCAUGGUUUUGUCUGGCUUCUUGCCUUCGCGUGUGAGUCUUGGUUUGCUUUCAAUUGGGUUCUUAUUCUCAUCACCCAAUGGACUCCUGUUGAAUACAAAACAAACCCUCACAACCUCUUGCAACAGUAUGUCAUGCAUGUCCUUUUAAUACUUUUAAAUAUAAUUAAUUUACAUAUGUUCAUGUGUAGUUAUGCUCGCAUAAUUCUUUAACCUUUGCUUAUGCAGAUUGAAAGAAAAAAAAAAGAAAAAAAAAGUUCUUAUGGUAAUUAGCAUGUUGAUUAAUGUCUUAUUGUGUAUGAUUAAUACGUAAUUAGCGUUUCGGAGCUUCCUCCGGUGGACAUGUUUGUGACAACAGCAGAUGCAAAGCUAGAGCCACCUAUCAUUACUGUGAACACAGUGCUCUCACUUCUAGCCGUUGAUUAUCCAACUCACAAGCUAGCUUGCUAUGUAUCAGAUGAUGGGUGUUCACCUCUCACUCUGUACACUCUCAUUGAAGCCUCUAAAUUUGCGAAGCUUUGGGUACCCUUUUGCAAAAAGUACCAUGUUCAAGUUAGAGCACCAUUCAGAUACUUCUCUAACAAUCCCAUUUUGUCAAGUUAUAAUCUAUCAGGAUUCCAU